rnacentral:rRNA from 1 species
AAAACGCUCGUAGUUGGAGUUCGAUAAAGCGGGCCCGUUGCUUCCCAGUGAAAAUCAAGCGGUCCUGGUGUUUAAAUUCAUUCGGAAAACGUGAUUGCACUUGGUUGUGUGUCAUACGAUCCGAGUUUUUACUUUGAGGAAAUGAGAGCGUUUCGAGCAAGCUUUAGGCAUGAAUAUAAUAGCAUGGUAUAAUUGUACAGGACUUCUUUCCAAUGUUGUUGGUUUGUGGGCCGAAGUAAUAAGGAUAGGGGCAGUUGAGGGUAUUCGUACUUAGCUGUCAGAGGUGAAAUUCUUGGAUUUUCUAAAGGCGAACAACUGCCAAAGCAUCUACCCAGGAUGUUUUUGUUGAUCAAGAACGAAAGUUAGGGGAUCGAAGACGAUCAGAUACCGUCCUAGUCUUAACCUUAAACAAUGCCGUCUGGAGACUGGGGUCGUCAUUUUUAUGAUACGUUCAGCAUCCUGAGAGAAAUCGAAGUCUUUGGGUUCCGGGGGGAGUAUGGUCGCAAGGCUGAAACUUAAAGGAAUUGACGGAAGGGCACCACCAGGAGUGGAGCCUGCGGCUUAAUUUGACUCAACACGGAGAAACUCACCAGGUUCAGACA